rnacentral:rRNA from 1 species
AGCAGCCGCGGUAAUUCCAGCUCCAAUAGCGUAUAUUAAAGUUGUUGCAGUUAAAAAGCUCGUAGUUGAAUUUCGGGAUCAAUUAAUUGGUCGUGCCUAUGGUACGUACUGAUUUUAUUGGUUUCUCCCUUCUGACGAACCAUGAUGUCAUUAAUUUGGUGUCGUGGAGAAUCAGGACUGUUACUUUGAAAAAAUUAGAGUGUUUAAAGCAAGCUAACGCUUGAAUACAUUAGCAUGGAAUAAUGAAAUAGGACGUUUGAAUCGUUUGAUCCUAUUUUGUUGGUUUCUAGGAUCGACGUAAUGAUUAAUAGGGAUAGUUGGGGGCAUUAGUAUUCAAUUGUCAGAGGUGAAAUUCUUGGAUUUAUUGAAGACUAACUACUGCGAAAGCAUUUGCCAAGGAUGUUUUCAUUAAUCAAGAACGAAAGUUAGGGGAUCGAAGACGAUCAGAUACCGUCGUAGUCUUAACCAUAAACUAUGCCGACUAGGGAUCGGAUGAUGUUAAUUUUUUUUAAUGACUCA